rnacentral:rRNA from 1 species
GAUGAAUGCUGGCGGCGUGCCUAACACAUGCAAGUCGAGCGGCAGCGAGGGGUGCUUGCACCCUGUCGGCGAGCGGCGAACGGCUGAGUAACGCGUAGGAAUUUGCCCCAAAGUGAGGAAUAACUGCCCGAAAGGGUAGCUAAUGCCGCAUAUGGUCUUCGGAUUAAAGGAUUUAUCCGCUUUGGGAGAAGCCUGCGUUGGAUUAGGUUGUUGGCAGGGUAAUGGCCUACCAAGCCGACGAUCCAUAGCUGGUCUGAGAGGAUGAUCAGCCAGACUGGAACUGAGACACGGUCCAGACUCCUACGGGAGGCAGCAGUGAGGAAUCUUCCACAAUGGGCGAAAGCCUGAUGGAGCAACGCCGCGUGAAGGAUGAAGGCCUUCGGGUUGUAAACUUCUUUUAUGAGUGAAGAAUAUGACGGUAACUCAUGAAUAAGCACCGGCUAACUACGUG